rnacentral:lncRNA from 1 species
AACUGAAAAACAAAGAGAGUGGACAAUAAUUUCUAGAAAAGUUUUCAAAACCUCAAAAUCAAGAUUUUUAUAAUAACCAUUUUUUACAAAUUUCAUUUUUCUUUAAAUUUUUCAUUUUAAAUUAUGUCACAUAAGAUCUAGCGUCUCAUUUAAAGUCAAUGUUAUUGAUAUAACAUCUAUAGUUUAAGGAUGCAAUUAGAAUGGUUUAAAGUUUAAGGAUCAGUUUAGAAUGAGAGUCGUAGUUUGGGGAUAUGUGAUAUAAAUAACUCAUUACAAUAUGAAAAUAGGAUUAUUAUAGUGUAUUUAAUUUAUAAAUAUUUUUUACUCAAUGUCUUAUGUUAGUGCAAAAAUAAUGGUGGUAAAGAGAUUAAAUGUAGCAUAAGACAAAAAGAAAUCUAAAUACACCACACCAAAAAUAAAAUUCAAUUAAAAGGGGACAUUAAUCUGAUUUAACCCGGUCCUUAGCAGAACGGGCUGAGUCCAACUUCUUGCAACUAAAACAAGGAUGAAAUGCAACCAUUGACUUUACUAGCAAGCUUGCUUCCCGUCGGAUAAACAAAUAAUUAUUUAUAUCAAUUACUUUUUUUUUAAUUUUGUUUUUCAACAAAAUUUUUAUUAAAUCAAAUAACAAAUAUGUGUUAGAGAUAAAUUGUUUUAGGCCAAAUUAUGAUUAUGAUCCUUUUGUUAUGUUUAAAUUUAGGAUUUAUUAUCUAUACUUAAAUUUGACAUAAAUUGAUUUUUCUACAUAAUAUCAUUAUUUAGUCAAAAUAGUUGACAUCUUUAAUUUUUCAUGCUAAAAUAUUUUUCAUGUUAAAAUUAGCGACCUAAAAAUUUUAGCACCGGCGCUGGUCGAAGUAAUUCUUGCAAAUUUGAAAACUGAACCUCGAUUGUGUUUGAAAAAAAGAGUCGCCACCGAUCUUUUUUCUAGGUAUAAUCGGACACCUAAUAAAUUCUUUUUUAAAAGAAAAAUUUAAAAAUAAAUUUUAGGUCUACGUGAAAAUCUAAAGAAAAUUAGAGUUCGGGAGUCGGUUACGCGCGAGGAAGGUAUUAGCACCCUCGCGACGCCAAAAAUUGGUAUCUCGUUAAACGCGCGUUGUUUUAAUUCUUAAAAAAUACGAAUUCAAUUUAAUAUUUACUCGUGAUCUAAUUGAAAUAUGAGAAUUUAAAAAAACACGAGAAUUUUGAAGCAAUUUUUUUAAUGGAAUUUUUGAAACACGAAAAUCUUUGAAACACGGAUUUUUUUUAAACACGACAAUUUUUUAAACACGAGAAUUUUUUCAAAACACAAAAAGUUUUUAAAACACGAAAAUUUGUGAAACACUAGAGUCGUUGAAAACACGGAAAUUUGUGAAAACACAAAAAUUUUUGAAACAUGGAAAUUUUUAGAAAACACAAAAAUUUUUGGAUCACCGGAAUUUU